UGAAGGUGAAAGCUACCAAUGGCCUUUCUUUUUUCUUCAGGUAUAUUACAGGCUUCUCUUUGAGUUUAUAAUCUUUGAAUUUGGACAAUAAGGGAAGGAAUCAGGUUCAGUACAGCGUUUUUACGUGCCUGUUGCAAAUUUUCUGUAGACUUCUUGGGUAAUAGUCACUCUGCCUUAAAUAACAUCACAAAGUCCUUUAGGCUAUGAAACUCACCCUUAAACAAUCUAUAACUAGACGAAUUAUGUAAGAAAGAGACAGAAUAAGUGAUAUAGUCUUAGCUCUGGUGGUUUUCAUAACACAUCGAAAAUCUUUUUAUCUUCUUUUAUUGCCAUAAAACUUAACCCUCCUGUGCCCGGAAGGAACAGUUUUUCAAGUACAGCUUCCCCCUAGAAAUGUAUUUCUAAAAUACAUGUGAAAACUCACUAGGGCGGGGCAUGUAACAUAGCAGAUGGAUUUUCUUACCUGGGUGAACAAACAG
rnacentral:lncRNA from 1 species